GAGUUUGAUCGUGGCUCAGAUUGAACGCUAGCGGGAUGCCUUACACAUGCAAGUCGAACGGCAGCACGGACUUCGGUCUGGUGGCGAGUGGCGAACGGGUGAGUAAUGUAUCGGAACGUGCCUAGUAGCGGGGGGAUAACUACGCGAAAGCGUAGCUAAUACCGCAUACGCCCUACGGGGAAAGCAGGGGAUCGCAAGACCUUGCACUAUUAGAGCGGCCGAUAUCGGAUUAGCUAGUUGGUGGGGUAACGGCUCACCAAGGCGACGAUCCGUAGCUGGUUUGAGAGGACGACCAGCCACACUGGGACUGAGACACGGCCCAGACUCCUACGGGAGGCAGCAGUGGGGAAUUUUGGACAAUGGGGGAAACCCUGAUCCAGCCAUCCCGCGUGUGCGAUGAAGGCCUCGG
rnacentral:rRNA from 1 species